rnacentral:rRNA from 1 species
GACGAACGCUGGCGGCGUGCUUAACACAUGCAAGUCGAACGGAAAGGCCCCUUUGUGGGUACGGGCGUGGCGAACGGGAGGGUAACACGUGAGUAACCUGCCCUUGCCUUCGGGAUAACUUCAGGAAACUGGGGCUAAUACCGGAUAGGAAUCCUUGCCGCAUGGUGGGGGUUGGGGAGCUGCGGGGGUUGGGGAUGGACUGGCGGCUGAUCAGUUUGUUGGUGGGGAAGUGGCUUACCAAGGCUUGGACGGGUAGCCGGCCUGAGAGGGCGACCGGCCAAAUGGGGACUGAGAUACGGCCCAGACUCCUACGGGAGGCAGAGGGGGGGAAUAUUGAACAAUGGGCGGAAGCCGGAUGCAGCAACGCCGGGGGCGGGAUGACGGCCUUCGGGUUGUAAACCGUUUUCGCCUGUGACGAAGCGUUAGUGACGGUAAUGGGUAAAGAAGCACCGGCUAACUACGUG